rnacentral:rRNA from 1 species
UCCAGACUCCUACGGGAGGCAGCAGUGAGGAAUAUUGGUCAAUGGGCGAGAGCCUGAACCAGCCAAGUCGCGUGAGGGACGACGGCCCUACGGGUUGUAAACCUCUUUUGCCGGGGGACAAACGGCGGCACGCGUGCCGUCCUGAGGGUACCCGGAGAAAAAGCAUCGGCUAACUCCGUGCCAGCAGCCGCGGUAAUACGGAGGAUGCGAGCGUUAUCCGGAUUUAUUGGGUUUAAAGGGUGCGUAGGCGGGAGGGCAAGUCCGGGGGGAAAAUCCGGGGGCUAACCCUGGGUCCGCCGUUGAAACUGGCGUUCUUGAGUGGGCGAGAAGUACGCGGAAUGCGUGGUGUAGCGGUGAAAUGCAUAGAUAUCACGCAGAACCCCGAUUGCGAAGGCAGCGUACCGGCGCCCAACUGACGCUGAAGCACGAAAGCGUGGGUAUCGAACAGGAUUAGAUACCCCAGUA